UUCCGGUUGAUCCUGCCGGACCCGACUGCUAUCAGAGUAGGACUAAGCCAUGCGAGUCAACAUAGCAAUAUGUGGCAUACGGCUCAGUAACACGUAGUCAACAUGCCCAGGGGACGUGGAUAACCUCGGGAAACUGAGGAUAAACCGCGAUAGGUCAUUACUUCUGGAAUGGGUAAUGACUCAAACCUAUAUGGCCCCUGGAUUGGACUGCGGCCGAUCAGGCUGUUGGUGAGGUAAUGGCCCACCAAACCUGUAACCGGUACGGGCUCUGAGAGGAGGAGCCCGGAGAUGGGCACUGAGACAAGGGCCCAGGCCCUAUGGGGCGCAGCAGGCGCGAAACCUCUGCAAUAGGCGAAAGCUUGACAGGGUUACUCUGAGUGAUUUCCGUUAAGGAGAUCUUUUGGCACCUCUAAAAAUGGUGCAGAAUAAGGGGUGGGCAAGUCUGGUGUCAGCCGCCGCGGUAAUACCAGCACCCCGAGUGGUCGGGACGUUUAUUGGGCCUAAAGCAUCCGUAGCCGGUUCUACAAGUCUUCCGUUAAAUCCACCUGCUCAACAGAUGGGCUGCGGAAGAUACUAUAGAGCUAGGAGGCGGGAGAGGC
rnacentral:rRNA from 1 species